ensembl:lincRNA
CCGGAAAUAAGAUUCUAUUAUCUGAGGAGCUGCCGCAGCUGCCAAUGGCGCUGCGAAGCCCGGAAGUUCAGGAUGGCUGCCGCAGAGACCCAGGCGCUGCGGGAGCCCGAUGCUCAUCUUCGGGCUGCUGGCACUGAAAAAGAUUUCAAAGAGAAUCCCAACCUCAGAGAUAACUGGACUGAUGCAGAAGGCUGUUAUCGUGUGAACAUAGGUGAAGUCUUAGAUAAACAUUACAAUGUGUAUGGCUAUAUCGGGCAAGGUGUAUUCAGCAGUGCUGUGCGAGCCAGAGAUAAUGCAAGAGCCAACCAAGAAGUGGCUGUGAAGAUCAUCAGGAACAAUGAGCUCAUGCAAAAGGUUGGUUUAAAAGAACUGGAGUUCCUGAAAAAACUUAACAAUGCCAAUCCUAAUGACAAGUUCCACUGUCUGCGGCUCUUCAGACACUUCUAUCAUGAGCAGCAUCUCUGACUCGUAUUUGAGCUUCUCAGUAUGAAUUUACGAGAGGUAUUAAAAAAUACAGUAAGGAUGUUGGUCUUCAUAUUAAAGCUGUAAGAUCUUACAGUCAGCAGCUGUUCCUGGCAUUGAAACUCCUUAAAAGGUGCAACAUCCUACAUGCAGAUAUCAAGCUGGACAACAUUCUGGUUAAUGAAUCAAAAAUGAUUUUAAAGCUCUGUGAUUUUGGGUUGGCUUCCCACAUCAUGGAUAAUGACAUAACACCUUAUCUUGUCAGUAGAUUUUGUUGGGCUCCUGAGAUCAUUAUAGGUAAAAGCUGUGACUGUGGCAUAGAUAUGUGGUCUGUAGGCUGUACCCUGGUAAAACCAAUAACCACAUGUUGAAGCUUGCCAUGGAUCUCAAAGGAAAGAUGCCAAAUAAGAUCAUUUGGAAAGAUGUAUUCAAAGAUCAGCAUUUUGAUCAAAAUCUCAACUUCAUGUACAUAGAAGUUGAUAAAGUAAGAGAGAGGGAGAAAGUUAUGGUCAUGAGCACCAUUAAUCCUCCUAAGGACCUAUUGGCUGACUUGAUUGGGUGCCAGCAAUUUCCUGAAGACAAACAUAAGAAAGUAUACCAGCUGAACGGCUUGUUGGACCAGAUUGUAAUGUUGGACCCAGAUAAAUGAAUUAGCAUCACCCAGGCCCUACAGCAUGCAUUCAUCCAGGAAAAAAUUUAACAAGAUGAAGAAACUGCAAAGGUUUGAGUAAUUAAAUACAAAGACUGAAGAAAUUUCACAGCAGUUUAUUAUUAAUGUAUAUAAACUUACAAAUAUAUCUCCAGCAAAUUUGAGGAAGCAUGAUGUAUUUGAAUUAUCACCAAGGGUGAUACUUCUUUUAGAAAUGUUAGUUAAUCUGUUUUGUGUCUUAUGUGCAGUUUCACUGUAGAACUGUUUUAAUUGCCAAGACUAUAGAAAAUUAUAGUGCUAGUGUAUAUGGUUGCAGUUCACAUAAAAGACAAAAACAUCUAUUAUAAAAUGAGUAGUAAUACUGGGUGGUUGAUUCAUUUUUAGCAGACUUGGCUUCAUUUUGGUCUUCAGAUGAAAUGGCCAGCAUAAAUGCUGUUUAUAUUCACGUUUUCCUAGAGGUGUGUGUGUGUGUGUGUGCAGGCCACGGCAGCAUGCCCUGGGUAUAGUCAGUGUUGAAGGGGGUCUGUUUCUUAGCCUGCCUACAGGGAUGUCUCCUUUUUUAAAGCAGGUUGUGCACAUUUAGUGCACUGAAGGUAAGCUACCAUCAACAUCACUGGUGUUUUAAGGUGUUCUUUUAUUGGAAUAAUUGACAAGUGAGGGAUCUUAGCUUUGUGACAGAAUUCCCUGCAUGUGUGAUAACUGACUUUGUUUUAAUUUUGGCAUUGCAGCUGUGGUGUAGUUACAACUUCUGUUUUGUUCAUCACUUUUAAAAUUUGGAGAGUGUAUGUGCUUGAUGGAUAGAGUGCCUUCAGUGUACUGUUUCUUCUUUACUUUUUAAAAAUCAUCUUGCUAUGGACUUAAUAUACAUUUUGUUAAAUACAGUUCCUAGUGACAUAGAAACAAAAGCAAUUUUCAUUUACUAAUUACAAAUGUUGAGGCCUAAAUUCUGAAAGUCCUCAUAUUUAAAGGUUAGAUAGACAACAUAAUGAAAAUUUUAACUAUUUGUAUGUCAUUUUGAAAGUGUACUGCUUUAUGGUAACAGUGUUUUUCAUUCGUUCAUAGUUUUCAUUAUUUGUGAUCAUUUGUCUUUCAGCAUAGGCAUACACUUUCUACUCUUGAACAAAGCAGCUGCUUUUUAAAAGUGGUAAUUGCUUGUUUACUUUUUAUUUCUUUUGUAAAUGAAGCUUUUCUUUAAGAAUGUGACCUUAACGUGUUGUCUAUUGCAUAAAACAGUUGACACUCACUUAUUGUAAAGUGAAGAUUAUUCUACUGCAUGUGAAGUGGACCAUGCAGAUUUCUGUAUGUUCUCAGUAUGCAUCACUAGAUAAUAGUCUUUUGUGAACAAGGGCACAAAACAAUUCUGUAGAGCUAAUUAUUCCUGAAUUCAUUUUUGUACCUUUUCUGUCUUAUAUCAUCAAGAUAAAUACCUAGAAGGAGUAAUUAAAAAUUCUCAUUGAUGAAAAAGAUGAUGUACUAUGUAUUCUCUAUAGUAUCUAAUUUUUUUCAAUCAAAAGCUUCCUGUUACAUUCAGGCUUUGCUCUAUGAUCAUCAUGCAUGCAUCUUAUUCUCCCCCUUAUUUAAUUUUUCUCUGAGUAAGCACCUGCUGAGCACCAAGGAGCAGAAGGGGCAGAGUGAACUGUUCAGUGCUGCUAGCUUUUCCUCAUCUUUAUGCUCUUGGGAUGGUCACCUG